rnacentral:rRNA from 1 species
CAAAUGAAUUGACGGGGCCGCACAAGCGGUGGAGCAUGUGGUUUAAUUCGACGCAACGCGAAGAACCUUACCAGGGCUUGACAUCCCCUGACCGCGUAUGAAAGUACGUUUUCACCCUCGGGUGACAGGGAGACAGGUGGUGCAUGGUUGUCGUCAGCUCGUGUCGUGAGAUGUUGGGUUAAGUCCCGCAACGAGCGCAACCCCUACGUUUAGUUGCUAACGCGUGAAGGCGAGCACUCUAGACGAACUGCCGUUGACAAAACGGAGGAAGGUGGGAUGACGUCAAAUCAUCAUGCCCCUUAUGUUCUGGGCUACACACGUGCUACAAUGGCCGGUACAGACGGACGCAAAGCCGCGAGGUGGAGCAAAUCCGAAAAAGCCGGUCUCAGUUCGGAUUGCAGGCUGCAAUUCGCCUGCAUGAAGUCGGAAUCGCUAGUAAUCGCAGGUCAGCAUACUGCGGUGAAUACGUUCCCGGGCCUU